GAUAAACGCUGGCGGCGCACAUAAGACAUGCAAGUCGAACGGACUUAACCAAUAGUUUACUUUUGGAGCGGUUAGUGGCGGACUGGUGAGUAACACGUAAGCAACCUGCCUAUCAGAGGGGAACAACAGUUAGAAAUGACUGCUAAUACCGCAUAUGCCAUAAUCACCACAUGGUGGUAGUGGGAAAGGAGCAAUCCGCUGAUAGAUGGGCUUGCGUCUGAUUAGAUAGUUGGUGGGGUAACGGCCUACCAAGUCGACGAUCAGUAGCCGAACUGAGAGGUUGAUCGGCCACAUUGGGACUGAGACACGGCCCAGACUCCUACGGGAGGCAGCAGUGGGGGAUAUUGCACAAUGGGGGAAACCCUGAUGCAGCAACGCCGCGUGAAGGAAGAAGGUCUUCGGAUUGUAAACUUUUGUCGCAAAGGAAGAUAAUGACGGUACUUGUGAGAAAGCCACGGCUAACUACGUGCCAGCAG
rnacentral:rRNA from 1 species